GAAAGAGAGAGAGAGAGAGAGAGAGAGAGAGAGAGAGAGAGAGAGAGGUAUGAGAAAAUUGAGUCCAUCUAGAUUUCUUGUUCGAAUUUGGAAGGAUUGAAGAGUAGAUAGCAAUUUUGAGCUUCCAUUCUUGAAAAUGAGGACCUAAGGGUUGACAUCCGAGGACGCUCACUAGCCGCUAUUAACCCAGUGCUCUGUGUCCAGGCACC